GUGAAAAUGCGAAAAAGAUAAAAUGUAAAGACGUUUUGCACAAUAACAUUGAAAUGUAAGAACCUUUUUGCUAGUUAUCCAUAAAAAAGGUCCAUUUUUACAUGGACUAAUAAAAGACAGGGAGAGGUCAAGAUCUUGUCAAACUUGAUAAAUUUGUGUGCAUUACUGCUUGGCACGGUCUUAGUCUUGAUUCCCUAAUCACACUUGGAGUUCUCAAAAUCUAAUCAUUGUCCUAUUCUUCUUCUGCUUGUGAAGCUAAUUGCAAUGUAAAUGGUGAACUUCUAUAUGAGAGACUUAUUUUACCAUUGAGUCUCUCAUUUUUUAGGAUAAAGGAUGACUUAUUCAGAAUCCCACAUGAGGUUGGUGAGGAACAUGUAGUCCCAAUCCUUGAAAACUUCUAUAUAUCUCUCCCAUGAGCUUGUUCAAUGUCAAUCAAGGUAGAGCAGUUGGAGAAUUUUCAAGUUUCGAAACGAGUGGGAGAGUUGCAGAGAAAAAAUAGCUUCUUGCUGACCUAUAUGCUUAUCCUCUGUAUGGGCAAUCCAUGGCUGCUAUAAAAGGGUUAAAACACGACACUGAUGACUUGUUUGAGCAAAAGGAAAAGUAUUGGACACAAAGGUCACAAGCUAAAUGGCACAAACCAUAGGACCAUAACACUAAUUUCAUUCAUGCGAAGGAAUCUACCAGGAUGAUAAAGAAUGAUUUAUCUAGAAUCUAGAAUGAGGCUGGGGUUUGGUGUGAGGGUCGGGAAAAUAUAGUCCCAUUGCUUGAAAACUUCUAUACAUCUCCCAUGAGCUCGUUCAGCGUCAAUCAGAGUUAGGCAGUUGGAGAAGGUUCAAGUUUGGUAAAUGUAUAGGAUAGUUGCGAGAGAAAAGAGCAACAACUAGGCUUUCCUAUGUGUGGGCUGGAAGACCAAAGUCAUGAGCUGAACAGCUCAAAAUUUAGAAUCAUAACACUAAAUUCUUAGAUGCCUGCACAAGGAGGAAAUGAUAUCAUUCUUUAAUAUUACAAGUAAAUAUUUCAACCUUGACUACAUCACAAUUAGUUAAAUAAUUAGGUUGUAACUUUAAUAAGAUACGAUAAUGAUUUAUCUAGAAUCCAGAAUGAGGCUAGGGUUUGGUUUGAGGGCGAGAAACAUGUAGUCCCAUUGCUUGAAACUGUUAAACAUCUCUAUUGUCCAGUACGAGGCUUAAUGAGAAAGAAUUGGAGGUUGGAGAGAGUGGGAUUUCUGCAAUGUUGUAUCCAUAGCACAAGUCUUAGCCCCCAUUUUCUAAAAAUGAAAAUGGGGGGAAUAGCAUUUUUUUUAAAAAUAAGUGGUUGAAAAAGAAUGAAAAGUUUUCGAUUUACGUGUAAUAUUAUUUUAUGGAAGAUUGUGUGAUUGAAAAUAAGAGGAAGAGAAAUGGAAUAUAAUAUAAUUAAAUUAAAUGGGGGCCAAAUGGUGGCUUAGAUUGAUGACACUUUCUCUUUGGGCAAAAUUCAAGCUUAUGGGACCAAACUAAAGCACCAAGUAUGGAUGGGUUUUAUGUUUUAUUUUUCCCAAGACACUGGUCUGUCGUAGGUAUGAUGGUUUGUUCGGUUUGUCUUAAAGUUCUCAUAACAGCAAAUUAGCCAGACAUACAAAUGAUGCUACCCUUUUUUUUGUAAUUUCAAAAUAAAGCAUCCUGUAUUUAUCUGUGACUAUAGGCUCAUCAGUUUGUGCAAUGUCGUGUGCAAAUUAUCACAAAAAUAAUUAAACACGGGCUCAAGAAAAUUCUACCCAACUUCAUAUCUGGAAAACAAUGUACAUUUGUCCCCAGCCGACGUAUUACAGACAACAUCAUUGUUGCUCAGGAUUUCGUACAUUCAUUGGGUAACAAGAAUAAUGGAAGUACAGCCUUCAUGCUGCUUAAACUCAACAUGAGUUAAGUUUAUGACCAAUUGAAGUGGGUGUUUGUAAGCCGUGUUAUGGAGAAAAUAGAAUUUCCUAGUGGCUGGGUGAAUUUGGUGAUGUCAUGAUCUCAAUGGCCAAAUUUAAGUUCAAUUUCAAUGAGGCUCCUAAGAAGAGAGUCCUCCACGCCAGGGGCUUCGGAAGGGUUACCCAUUAUCCCCAUAUCUUUUCAUCGUGUGAGCAGAGCCCCUCUCUUUUUUAAUUUACAAGGCAGAGGUUGAUGGUGAGAUUGUGGAAGCGGAGUGCUCAAGGGCGGGACCCUGGGUCAGUUACAUGUUUUUCCCACAGACUCCACUGUACUUUCUCAUGCUAGAACCUUGGAUUGUUAAGUUGCCCUGAAUAAUCUUUCGAAACAUGAGAGACAUCAUGUCAAGUAGUUAAUUGGGAGAAAUUUUGGAUGACAUUCAGACCUAAUGAUAUACUUGAGCACAAGGCAUUAAUCUAGAAUAUAGCCCCCCUUUGGCCCCCAUUUUUUGAAAUAAAAAUGGGUGAAAUAGUUUUUUUUUAAUAUUAUUUUUUUUAAAUGAGUAGUUGAAAAAGAAGGAAAAGUGUUCGAUUUACGUGCAAUAUUAUUUUAUGAAAGAUUGUAUGAUUAAAAAUAGGUGAGAGAUAAAUGAAAAGUAAUUUAAUGGGAGCCAAACAGGGGUAUAAUGUCUUCGGGAUGCUAGGCCUCAUGAAAGAUACUUAAGAACGGAUUUCGUUGUUGGGAAGAACAAAAUGGCAACUCUGGGCAAUUGAAAGGAAGAUUACGGAUGAGGGUGCAAGGCUUAAAACAGUAUUUAUUCUCCACAGGGUCAUGAGGUCUUGGUCAAGGCGGUUUUGCAAUCUAUCCCAACCUAUAUGUUGUUUAUAUUUAAAAUGCCAGAGUCUCUUUGCAAUAAUUUUCUGGUUAUUUUUCAACGACUAUGGUGGGAUUCUAAAUAAGGGUGGAGGAAAAUGGCAUGUGUGAAAUGGGAUACGGCUCGAAUUUCAAGACUUGAGGCAUUUUAAUAAGAAUUAUGCUACAUGUGCAGGAUUUUGUUAAUAGAGUCAAGCUAAUUACAGGGGACAACUGUCCCCUCUGUAUUGACCUUGUCAACAAAUCCCUUGUACAUGGGAAAAAUUCUUUUAAUAAAACCCAGUUGGCUAAACAAGUUUGGAGAACUAUGACAACCGAUACCUCUCUAGCAGCAAUGGUCCUGAAGGGCAAAUACUUUAGGAGAGAUGACUUCCUGACAGUGGCAUGUCCAACAAAUGCAUGUUUAAGGCUGAGCAUCCUUUGGGGAAAGGAACUCAUAGUUCGUAGUUUACGAUGGUAGGUUGGGAUGUGGGGAAAAAUUAGAUUUUUGAAAACCCACGAUUAUUUAGACAGCCGAGCUUUUGACUGAUCAAAACCUUACAUUCUGAGGUUCAGAGGGUUGCUAACAUUAUGCUUCCAAAUAGAGGAUGGAAUUGUGCAAAAAAUAAAAUAAAAAAUAAAAACUCGAGGAUCUUCUGGCCAGUGGACAGGGAUAUCAUCACAUCUAUUCAAAUAAGUGUAAACAUGAGGGUUGAUAAGCUCA
rnacentral:lncRNA from 1 species